rnacentral:rRNA from 1 species
GACGAACGCUGGCGGCGUGCUUAACACAUGCAAGUCGAACGGAAAGGCCCUGCUUUUGUGGGGUGCUCGAGUGGCGAACGGGUGAGUAACACGUGAGUAACCUGCCCUUGACUUUGGGAUAACUUCAGGAAACUGGGGCUAAUACCGGAUAGGAGCUCCUGCUGCAUGGUGGGGGUUGGAAAGUUUCGGCGGUUGGGGAUGGACUCGCGGCUUAUCAGCUUGUUGGUGGGGUAGUGGCUUACCAAGGCUUUGACGGGUAGCCGGCCUGAGAGGGUGACCGGCCACAUUGGGACUGAGAUACGGCCCAGACUCCUACGGGAGGCAGCAGUGGGGAAUAUUGCACAAUGGGCGGAAGCCUGAUGCAGCAACGCCGCGUGCGGGAUGACGGCCUUCGGGUUGUAAACCGCUUUCGCCUGUGACGAAGCGUGAGUGACGGUAAUGGGUAAAGAAGCACCGGCUAACUACGUGCCAGCAGCCGCGGUGAUACGUAGGGUGCGAGCGUUGUCCGGAUUUAUUGGGCGUAAAGGGCUCGUAGGUGGUUGAUCGCGUCGGAAGUGUAAUCUUGGGGCUUAACCCUGAGCGUGCUUUCGAUACGGGUUGACUUGAGGAAGGUAGGGGAGAAUGGAAUUCCUGGUGGAGCGGUGGAAUGCGCAGAUAUCAGGAGGAACACCAGUGGCGAAGGCGGUUCUCUGGGCCUUUCCUGACGCUGAGGAGCGAAAGCGUGGGGAGCGAACAGGCUUAGAUACCCUGGUAGUCCACGCUGUAAACGGUGGGUACUAGGUGUGGGGUCCAUUCCACGGGUUCCGUGCCGUAGCUAACGCUUUAAGUACCCCGCCUGGGGAGUACGGCCGCAAGGCUAAAACUCAAAGGAAUUGGCGGGGCCCCGCACAAGCGGCGGAGCAUGCGGAUUAAUUCGAUGCAACGCGUAGAACCUUACCUGGGUUUGACAUGGAUCGGGAGUGCUCAGAGAUGGGUGUGCCUCUUUUGGGGUCGGUUCACAGGUGGUGCAUGCCUGUCGUCAGCUCGUGUCGUGGGAUGUUGGGUUAAGUCCCGCAACGAGCGCAACCCUUGUUCACUGUUGCCAGCACGUUAUGGUGGGGACUCAGUGGAGACCGCCGGGGUCAACUCGGAGGAAGGUGGGGAUGACGUCAAGUCCUCAUGCCCCUUAUGUCCAGGGCUUCACGCAUGCUACAAUGGCUGGUACAGAGAGUGGCGAGCCUGUGAGGGUGAGCGAAUCUCGGAAAGCCGGUCUCAGUUCGGAUUGGGGUCUGCAACUCGACCUCAUGAAGUCGGAGUCGCUAGUAAUCGCAGAUCAGCAACGCUGCGGUGAAUACGUUCCCGGGGCU